ensembl:lncRNA
GUGAAAACAGUAAGAGGGAACAGUGAGAACAGUAAGAGGGAACAGUGAAAACAGUAAGAACAAACAGUGAGAACAGUAAGAGGCAACAGUAAGAGGGAACAGUGAGAACAUUAAGAGGAAACAGUGAGAACAGUAAGAGGAAACAGUGAGAGGGAACAGUGAGAACAGUAAAAGGGAACAUUGAGAACAGUAAGAGGGAACAUUGAGAACAGUAAGAGGAAACAGUGAGAACAGUAAGAGGCAACAGUGAGAGCAGUAAGAGGGAACAGUGAGAACAGUAAGAGGGAACAGUGAGAGCAGUAAGAGGGAACAGUGAGAACAGUAAGAGGCAACAGUAAGAGGGAACAGUGAGAGCAGUAAGAGGGAACAGUGAGAACAGUAAGAGGGAACAGUGAAAACAGUAAGAGGGAACAGUGAGAACAGUGAGAACAAACAGUAAGAGGGAACAGUGAGAACAUUAAGAG